CAAAUUUUAGCUCAAUUGGUAGAACACAAGACUCUUAAUCUUGUAAUUUGAAAUUUGA
rnacentral:tRNA from 1 species